AGCAAUUGGAGAAGAUUGCAGAGUAAGUUCCUGAUUAAGAAAUGGAAUUUAUUCUGCAAUCUUCUCUAACUGCU
ensembl:miRNA